rnacentral:rRNA from 1 species
GAUGAACGCUGGCGGCGUGCCUAAUACAUGCAAGUCGAGCGAACGGACGAGAAGCUUGCUUCUCUGAUGUUAGCGGCGGACGGGGGAGUAACACGUGGAUAACCUACCUCUAAGACUGGGAUAACUUCGGGAAACCGGAGCUAAUACCGGAUGAUAUUUUGAACCGCAUGGUUCAAAAGUGAAAGACGGUCUUGCUGUCACUUAUAGAUGGAUCCGCGCUGCAUUAGCUAGUUGGUAAGGUAACGGCUUACCAAGGCAACGAUGCAUAGCCGACCUGAGAGGGUGAUCGGCCACACUGGAACUGAGACACGGUCCAGACUCCUACGGGAGGCAGCAGUAGGGAAUCUUCCGCAAAGGGCGAAAGCCUGACGGAGCAACGCCGCGUGAGUGAUGAAGGUCUUCGGAUCGUAAAACUCUGUUAUUAGGGAAGAACAUAUGUGUAAGUAACUGUGCACAUCUUGACGGUACCUAAUCAGAAAGCCACGGCUAACUACGUG